rnacentral:tRNA from 2 species
GCCCACAUAGCUCAGCAGGUAGAGCACUUCCAUGGUAAGGAAGAGGUCACCGGUUCAAUUCCGGUUGUGGGCUCCG